AGUGUAUUCCUGCCUCUAACUCACAACCCUGGCCGAUUUAGUAUCUCCGAUUAACCUGUAUGCAUGUUUUUCGGAUUGGGGAAACCUAGGUGGACACGGGGAGAACAUGCAAACUCCGCACAGAGCCGAGAUUCGAUAUCACGACCUUCGUACUGUGAGGCGACAGCGCUACCCACUGAGCCACCGUGCCACCGAUUACAAUGCUUGCUUGGUAAACUAUCAAGGAUCAUCAACGAUGACGUGCCCUUAGCCUCAUAGCUCCAGGCUAGCUCCCGUAAUUAGUACUGCUCGGUUCUUCCCGGUUUAGCAAUGGCGACCUUCUACACCCGCUGUCAAUAGGAGCUCCCAAAUAUAAACAUCACUCGCCUUCAUAGGAUUUUCACAACGACUAAAGACUCAACCGGCAAAUUGGAGAAAGGCUAUUCAUUACAUGCCAUGUGUAUUUUUGCAACUACCAAGCAAUCCGCCAGGCCGUCUCCAGAUCUCUUGUGGCACGCUACCAGAAAUAUAAACCAGCUCGACUGAGAAUCCUGCUCUGUGGUGCUUUUACAAAACACAACGCAAGAUCACGCCUGUUACACCACUGACUGGUGGACUGAGUCAUUGCACUUGAGAUGAUGGAAGGAGACACCUCACUGCACUGGACCAGCGGACGCCCCCACAGGAGACUCUGACUGAAGCCGGACCGGCACCCAAACUCGGACCCCGGGGAGCAUCUCAAACACCGGGAAAGUUAAGUGGUUUUAAAGACGUACUCAAUUCAAGUGUUUGUAUUUGUCUAUCGCGUGAGGUUUGUUAAAUGUUACUGAUUUACUGAUUUUAAAAGAGCAGCUGAGAGCCAUAGUGCCGGGGUAGGGAAAGCAGCUGAGUCAGCUAGCCAGAUACUAAAAUUGCCACUGCACUGAGAACACAUGUAAGUUUGCUGUGGAAAGUAAUUUUGCUUGCGGUGAAAUACCGUGUGUUUUGCCUGCAAGUGUUAUAAUUCCACUGUAAGUUGCAGUGCUAAGUUGCACUGCACUAAGGGGGUGUAAGUAGUCUCACUUGGAGCAGCGCUAUAUUAGAAAUAUUUGGAAUUACUUAGUUAGAAAAUGCAAUUGCUUUCAGCAGUGCAGGACCUGCAGAAGUUCUCCUAGAGCAGGCUAAGUAUCUGUUUUUUGCAAAUAGUGUAGCUAGAUUAGACUGUUACCUGUACUUCUACCUGUUUUGUAGUUUGCCCAGCAUUAGUUUUGCUGUUUGUGUAGUAUUUUUAGUUAUUUGUUCUAACUGUAUUAGGCAGGUCUUGUAUGGAGCUAGUUAGCUUCACAUGGCUUGUAAGUAAUUGCUCAGUCAUCAGCUGCUAUUCAUUUGGUAAUUGCCAGCGCUUGUAGUCUCGCUCCCUCCCAGUUAGUCUUAGUGCAUCUGUAUCCUUCUGCCACCACCCUUCCUCUCACUACUCCCUGUCCUCACUGCUCUGUGUCUCAACCCCAUCCCAACCUGUUCUCUCCCCUACAGAACGCACUUCCGCAGGCAAGGCCCCCCAUGGCAACGGAACCUCUCCAACAUUUGCUAUCCCUCGCUGACCCCCUGUGACAACAGUCGCAGGAGGGCUAUGGAACUGCCAGUCUGCUACGCGGAAGGCUGACUUCAUUUCGGCCUACGCGUCCCUCCUCUCUUUACAUUUCCUUGCCCUCACUGAGACCUGGAUCACACCAGGCGACACUGCAACCCCUGCAGCCCUCUCCUCCUCCUUCUCCUUCUCUCACGCCCCCCGCCCGUCUGGCUGUGGUGGGGGCACAGGUUUGCUCAUCUCUCCCUCUUGGAAAUUCUGUUCUCCCCCUCUCUCACCUCUCCAUCUCUACCUUUGAAUACCACUCUGUCUCAAUCACCUAUCCUGUUAACUUGUAUAUUGUGGUUAUCUAUCGCCCUUCAGGGCCCCUGGGAAGCUUCCUCCAUGAGCUCGACACCCUGCUCAGCUCCUUCCCAGAGGAUGGCACCCCACUGAUCCUGUUGUAGUCUGUAUUGGUAUCUGUUUGCUGUUAGUGUUUCUUUCGUGUUUCUGUGGGUUUAUUGUUUUUCACAUCCUCCGUCUCAGUGUUUUCCUCCUCCCGGUCACUUGUCUCGCCAGUGCCGUCUCUGUGUCUGUGUUCCCUGAGCUGCUUCACUCCCCUGCGUUUGCGUGAUUUCACUAUUCGGGUGGGUCCGGGUUUUCCUGGUUUCCCCCCUUCUUUCCAGUAUCGUUUUACUUCCUGCUUAUAUCUAGUUUUACUCAUUUCUACUAAUCCUUACUAACUUAUAGAUUGUAAAGUACUAACCUCAUUAAUAUACUAACGUGAAUAUUACUAAUGGACUAACAAACACUAGUUUUGGGUUUUUCAUAGUUUAGAUCGCUAUACUAAUACAUUAACCAUUCUCCCCUUUUCCAUGCUGCGCUGUAGCUCCACCCCUUUUCUUUCUAGUCUGCCCUAACGCUGAGUUCUGCAAUUACCUGCACGUGUCUCUUGCUCUAACUGCACCUCUCUCUCUGCUUGUGUUUUACUUGCUAAAUCCAGGCCGUCUUAUCAUUGUUGUCUGUGAUUCCAGUCCGCAUUUUCAGUCCCCUGUCAUUUGAUUCAUUAUCCUAAUGUUCUUCACCUAGAUGUUGUUUGUUACUCUGCCCUCACUCACGUAACCCCUCCUUGAUUGUUACCUUCCCCAGUGUAUAAAUGUCAGUCUUUUUCACCAGCUCCCUGUCAGAAGGUUGAUCAUAUUCACUGUGCCGAUGUUUUGUAAACCUUUGUUUAUUGAGAUUCCUGAGACGCCCUUUCCGUACCACUUCCAGUUUGCCUGCCCCUUUUGUUUGAUUGCUUUCUGGUUUGACCUUCGCUUUGUUUUCACUUCUUGCCUGUUCCUUUGUACCUUCGCCUAUCUGAUCUCCUGGUUUUUCAUUUUUUGCCUGUUUACCACUAUUCUUUUGGAAACUCCAUUUUGUACCGUCCUAUCUCUGAUUACCUGGCUUUGAACUUUGGACUGAAUAAAGACAAUGUUUUUUGGAUUUCCCUGGUCUGCGUUUGGGUCCUUACACAGAACAUAACAGAUCCUCCUGGGAGACUUCCACAUCCACCUUGAUGCCUCCCACUCCGCAGCCUUCCUGCCCCUACUCUACUCAUUCCAUCUCUCCCUGAUGCACUCCCCACCAACACACAAAGCUGGCAACCUCCUAGACUGGGUCAUCCUGAGGAAUUGCUCCUCCGAUCCCACGGUGACCCCUCUGCAUCAGUCCGACCACCACUUCGUUUCCUUCUCGACAUAGCUCAGGAGAUGUACUUGAAACCUCAAGAGGGAGAUCGAAGACAUCCUGAUCCGGUACCACGGGACCUUGUUGGUGGGCGACUCCCAACGCUGCCGGUCCGACGAGUUUGCUGGACCCGGAGCCCGCCCUCGCUACCAGAUGUCUUACUGCUAAAAAUGCUGUCUUCACUUUUAUAUACAAUAAAAAAGAAAAUGACCUAAAUCAGCUUCAGGCUCACUGUGUGUACUGGUCUUUUACUCUGCUUGCUUUUUCUUUUCCAACCAGCCUUUUACUAAAGGUAGACUUAACAUUCCUCAUUUACUUUUCUGUUAGUUUGCUAUUUUUCUCUAUGAUAGCACCUGACGUGUCAGAGAUAUGGGUCGAUCCUCAGAGCGCACGUUACUUCGGCAGAAAAAUUAUUUCAUCGUGCUUCGCCCUGCUGUAAUCGAUGGUUCUGUCUUUAUGAACCUGCAAAGUGUUUCUCUGCUUGUUUCAGUGGUAAUGUGGGGAUUGAUGUUCAAUUAAGAAUGCACUGAUUGCUUGCUACUGAUUUUGCAGACCAGUGCUUUUCCAACUCUGUACUAUCCCGUUUGGCACCUUGUUUGCAAAGCACAAUUGCGAUACCGGAUUUCUAUCGAGCCGUUCGCUUUUAUGUGAAUAUCUGGCUUUUUCCUUCAUGGCGUCUACAGCAGUUUCUUGUCAGGCCCUGAAAUGAACAUAAAACGGAAAUUGAAAGCGCUGCUUCCUUGGAUGGUUUUAUUCUGCCAGUUUAUUCUUUUUCAAGGUUUAAAUUGCCAAUCGCCAAUCCCACAACAUAAAUUGCAGAGGAGGAGGUUUAAUGUGCUUCGACAGAAACCGGAUCUCUUCAGAGGAGAGGUAUACCUAAGAGAAAAGUGCGUGGGGGCGGGUGGGGGGCGGCAAGGUGCGCCCGAAUACGAAGACGUUUACUCCCCUGGUGUCCGAAUCUGCCCUUCCGAGAAGCGUCUUUCACAACUACACCGCCCGGGACGUGUCUGCAGAGAACUGUGACUGCCUUAAUGGCGGCUGGUGCAGGGAGGGGGGAGACUGUGACUGCUCCCAGUUUCAGGGCCUGGGAGAGCGCUGUCAGAUCAGAGUGUAUAUUUAUUCCAUAUUGUGGCAUCGUGAGAGGGCGUGUCAUUGAUGGGAGGUACGUCCCCUCAAAAUGGCUGCAACGCACUACAAAACAGAUGGCUGCCGCACAAGAAGACUACAACAACCGGGUCGCCGCCGACUAAAGCCGGCUGCGGCUAAUUGACUUGGUGGCGGGUUUAUUUAACGAGACCUUCUCUGAAGGGAGGGGGUUAGAUGUGAAGUGAUUGUGUGCUUGUCUAAGUGAAGCUUUGUAAACUAUUACUUUGGCGGUUGUGAAACUUUCUGUUACCUUUUUAAAGACUGCAUUGUUAAAACUUUUUGGUUGAUUAAAAGCCCACCCACCUCUCAAAAGCCCACCACCUUUUGGAAAACUGCAUGGACCUGCUUUUGUUUGAGCGCCCCCACACGCUGAUGCCGCAAUAUUUAACCACAAAUAUUCAGUGCGUAGCAUUUUCGUUGUUAUAUCGGCAUACCUUUAGGCUAUUGUUCGCUUUAUCUUGUUGCUCUGAUGGAAUACAAAUUUUAGGUAGUGAAAAAUUAUUUAAUGGAAUCCAAGACAGAUGAUAUUGUCCAGUGUGUCAUGCCUGGGGGAGUAUUGUUGCAGAUGAGACUGCAGGGAGGAGGUGCUUAUGAAAUGGACAAUUGUGGCACUUAGAAACUCCGUAUUUUGCAUCAGUGUCUUGUAUUGUAUCCUAAAGGCUGAAAUCCUGAA